rnacentral:rRNA from 1 species
AAAUAUUAAAAGUUGUGAGAGGACGAGGAUUAUGUUAAAAGAUAUAACUAUAGGGCAAUACUACCCAACAAGUUCUGCUAUUCAUAAAUUAGAUCCAAGGAUAAAGCUUGUAGCGACAAUUGUAUUUAUGGUAUCUAUAUUUGUAGUAAAUAAAUUUUGGCCUUAUAUAGUAGUUUUAUUAUGUUUAUUAGCUAUGAUAAAAUUGGCUAAUAUACCAGUCAAAUAUAUUGUUAAGGGUGUUAAACCUCUUAAAUGGAUUAUUUUGUUUACAUUUCUUAUAAAUAUUUUUUUCUUACCAGGUGAUGAAAUAUGGUCAUUUGGAUUUUUAGCUAUUACAAAACAGGGUCUAAGACAAGCAAUUUUUAUGGCAAUAAGAUUAAUAUUUUUAGUAGUUGGUACAUCAUUGCUUACUUUAACAACUUCACCAAUAGAAUUAACUGAUGGAAUAGAGAGAUUGUUGAAUCCAUUUAAGAAAAUUGGUUUGCCAGUUCAUGAACUUGCAAUGAUGAUGACAAUUGCUUUACGUUUUAUUCCUACAUUGUUAGAUGAGACAGACAAAAUAAUGAAGGCUCAGAUGUCUAGAGGUGCAGAUUUUGAAAGUAAGAAUCUUAUAAAUAGAGCAAAGAAUUUAGUACCACUUUUGGUACCUUUAUUUGUAAGUGCAUUUAGAAGAGCUGAUGAAUUGGCUAUGGCCAUGGAGGCCAGAUGUUACAGAGGUGGACAUAAUAGGACUAAGAUGAGAGAGUCUGUUAUAUCAAGAAGGGAUUAUAUGGCAUGUGUAUUUCAGGUUGUUUAUCUGGGAGCAAUUAUAGCUACUAGAUUUAUAGCAAUUUAAUUAAUAAGUUAUAGAUAUAAUGAGGUAAAGUAUGAGAAAUAUAAAAAUUAAAAUCCAAUACAAUGGUAAGAAUUAUUGUGGAUGGCAAAAGCAACCUGAUUCUUUAGGGAUACAAGGUACAAUUGAAAGGGCUAUAUAUGAUAUAACAAAAGAAGAAACCAGUCUUAUAGGGUCUGGUAGAACUGAUUCAGGAGUUCAUGCUAUUGGUCAGAUUGCAAAUUUUAAAAUUAAUUCAGGUAUAAGUAUAGAAAGUAUACCAAUGGCACUAAAUGCCAAGUUGCCAAAAGACAUAUCAGUUAUAGAAGCAUGUGAAGUAAAUGAUGAUUUUCACUCCAGAUACAGUGCAAAAGGUAAAACAUAUAAAUAUUUAGUAUAUAAUAGCAAGUUUAGAAAUCCAAUACUUAGUGAGAUAUCAUAUCAAGUAAAAUAUGAACUUGAUUUUGAUAAAAUGUGUUCAGAAGCAAAAAGUUUAUUAGGAACACAUGAUUUUAAAGGUUUUAUGAGUUCUGGUUCAUCUGUAAAAGAUACAGUUAGAACGAUAUAUGAUAUUGAUAUAAGUAAAAAAGAUGACUUGAUUACUUUUGAGAUUAGUGGUAAUGGUUUUUUAUAUAACAUGGUGAGGAUUAUUGUUGGAACACUUGUUGAUAUGGGUCGUGGCAGAAUUAACGAACCAUUUUUAGAUAUAAUACAAUCAAAAACUAGGUCAAGAUGUGGACAUACAGCUCCAGCACAAGGAUUAUUUCUCAAAAAAGUUCAUUAUUAACUUGACACACCAGGCUACAUGUAUUAAAAUAUAUGAGAAUGUGUUAAUAAGUCCACUUGCCCCGGACUUGACAUAAACGGUAAAAAAAUUUUAUGAAAAGUAGUUAAGGAGGGACAGUUAUGAAAAGUUAUAUAGCUAAGCCAGCUGAUGUACAAAGAAAAUGGUACUUAGUUGAUGCUGAAGGAAAAACAUUAGGUCGUUUAGCAACAGAAAUUGCGACAGUAUUGAGAGGUAAACAUAAACCAACAUUUACUCCUCACGUUGAUGGUGGAGAUUUUGUUGUUGUAGUAAAUGCAGAAAAAAUAGUUUUAAGUGGUAAGAAAUUAGAUCAAAAAUAUUACAGAUACCAUACUGGUUAUGUAGGUGGAUUAAAAGAAAUAUCUUAUAGAGAUAUGAUGGAUAAGAAACCAGAAGAAGUUAUAUCACAUGCUGUAAGCGGUAUGUUACCUAAAAAUAAAUUAAGAAGCAGAAUGAUGACUAGAUUAAGAGUAUUUGCAGGUGCUGAGCACACUCAUGCAGCUCAAAAUCCAGAAGUUUUAAACUUUAAAUAAGAUUAAUAGGUGAAAGGAGGAGUUUAUAAUGGCUAACGUUCAAUAUUAUGGAACUGGAAGAAGAAAAAGUUCUGUUGCUAGAGUAAGACUAGUUGCAGGUGAAGGAAAUAUAUUAGUAAAUGGAAGAGCAUUAGAAAAUUAUUUUAAUUAUGAGACAUUAAUAAGAGAUGUUAAACAACCAUUAGUUUUAACUGGUAAUGAAAAUAAAUAUGAUGUUAUAGUAAAAGUUGAAGGUGGAGGAUUCACUGGACAAGCUGGAGCUAUAAGACAUGGAAUAUCUAGAGCUUUAUUAAAAGCUGAUUUAGAUUUAAGACCUGCUUUAAAGAAAGAAGGUUUCUUAACUAGAGAUGCAAGAAUGAAGGAAAGAAAGAAAUACGGAUUAAAAGCAGCAAGAAGAGCUCCACAAUUCUCAAAAAGAUAAUUACUUAUUUUUUUGGAAAAGCAAAAUCCUUUAUUUACUGUUAUUCAGAAAGUAUUGGUAUUUUAAAAAUGUUGGGUUAAGUUAAUUAUUGAUAUAUAAUAAAAUAAUAAGGUAUCUUAUUAGGAUGUUUUUCAUUAAGAAGAACAUCCUUUUUAUUUUGACUAUUUAAUAAAAAACAUAUGCUAAUAACAUUUAAAUUUUAUUUUUAUAAUAUUGUAAUUUAAAAGUUUAUAUAAGGUUAUAUAUUUUAAGAUAUUAUUUAACAAUAUAAAUUCUGAAUAUACGUUAUCAAAAUUUAUAAUAUAAACUAAGUAUAAUUUAUUGUAUAGUAUUGAAUGUUAGAUAAACAUAGUGAAUUAAAUAGGGACAGAAAUAUAAUAUCAUUACAUAAUAAUAUAUUAAUACCAAUAAAUAAAGAUAUAUCAAUAUUAAAAAAAUUUAAAUGUUUGUACUAAUAUAUGGAAUAUUAUAGUGUUUUUAUAAGUAUACAUAUACAGGGUGAUGUUGUGAGAAAGUACAUAAAACAUAUAAUUUUUAGUUUUGCAAUGAUAUGUCUAGUAGUAGUAUCUAUAUUUGAAAUUAAAAAUAUUUCUGAAGAUGUUAUCAAGUAUAUGCCAGUAACAAACAAAACUAUAAUUUUAGAUGCUGGUCAUGGAGGCAUUGAUCCAGGUGCAUUAAAUAAGGAUAAGAGUACAUCUGAAAAGGAUAUUAACCUAGCAAUAACACUUAAGCUUAGAGAGCUUAUAGAAUCAAGUGGUGGCCUUGUAAUAUUAACUCGAGAAGAUGACAGUAGCCUUUAUAAAGAAGAAAAUAAUAAAACUACAAGACAAAAAUAUAAUGAGAAUUUGAAAAAUAGAAAAGAAAUAAUAUCUAAUUCUAAUGCCAAUAUGUUUGUCUCUAUACAUCUUAAUGCAUUUGAACAAUCAAAAUACUAUGGAGCUCAAACUUUUUAUCCUAAAGACAAACAAGACAGUAAAGAAUUAUCGAAGUGUAUUCAAGAAGAACUUAAAAGAGUAGUAGAUAAGACAAACAACAGAGAAGUCAAACCAAGGGAUGAUAUAUAUCUUUUGAAAGAAAAUAAUAUUCCAUCAGUACUGAUAGAAUGUGGUUUUUUAUCAAAUGAAAAAGAGUGUAAACUCUUAACUGAUGAAACAUAUCAAGAAAAAAUAGCAUGGGCAAUCUACAUAGGAAUACAAAAAUAUUUAAGUUGAAAUAACUAUAAAAAUAGGUCUAAAUAUGUAAAUAGCUUGUAUUAAAGCAGUUAAAAUGCAUUAAUAUAGGCUAUUUUUAUUUUGACAAAAAAAUAUUUAAAAUAAAAGUUAAAAAGUUGUUGACUUAGAAUAAUAUAGAUGAUAUUAUAUAUGAGUGCCCAAAAGGAGCACCAAAAUAAGACAAAAGAACUUUGAAAAUUAAACAGUAGGUUAAUUUAUAAACAAGAAACAAACCAUAAAGCCAGAUAUUUUGAUAACAAUAGUAUCUGAGCCUGAUAAACUUUUAUUUGAGAGUUUGAUCCUGGCUCAGGAUGAAC